CUGUUCCAUGGAAAUGUUUGUGCUGCUGAGAGUCCAACAGAAGAGAAAAGAGAGGCCCCUUCACCUUCAUGUGGAACUGGGGCUGGGCUCCAGGCGUGGGGCUUCCAGGGCCAGCGCCGAGCUGUGAGUGGAGGCCUUUCUGCUCCUCUGGAAGUUGGACAGGCGUCAGAGUGCAGGACCCUCCGGGGUGUGGGAACGAGCCCCAUGGCACCAGUGACAGGAGGACAGCGGACCUACCCUCUCAUUAUAAGGCAGCCCCUCCUUGUCCUGGCAGAGACGAGGUCUCCAGAGAAGCUGACCCAGCUGGCUAGAUGGGGUCUGUUUGAAGGAAUUGGCUCAUGCGACUGUGGGGGCCAGCGAGCCUGCAACCCACGGCGGGCAGGGGCAGAUGCAGUGGAAGGAGGCUCUUCAUCUCCGGGAAACCUCACUUUUGCGCGGAGGUCUUCACCUGAUCGGGUGAGGCCCACCGCAUCUAGAGGGGCACGUCCUCCUGCACUUAGGGCCGACUGACUGUAGACGCUGCCUGCAUGUGCCAGAUGCUUUCCCAGCAACACCCAGACGCCUGUUUGAGGAAAUGGCUGGAUACUACUGGGCAAAGGAACAGACAGAAACCCACCCACAGGAGUUGGCUAACUGAAAAGACCACAUUCUAAAGUGAAAUUUCAUGUCUCGAAUUAUGUUGUCCUGCCCACUUCCAACUCCUGCUCUUGAAAGAAAACCCACCCUUUGGCUCAUACAAAGGAACCAGCUGACUAGCGAGUCCCGCUGGGGCCGCGGUCACGACUUGCUGCCGCUCUUACCUCGCGCCCCCUGCCUGUCCCACCAAAGCUCGCAUCACUGCUGCUGUUA